CAAAUUGGAGCUUGAGUUUAAGCAUUUUAGUUACAUUAAAAAGUUAGUUGUUUAAGCAAUUUAAUUUGA
rnacentral:tRNA from 1 species